GUGGAUGUAGCGUAGUGGUUAACGCGCCAGUUUGUGGCACUGGAGACCGUGGGUUCAAGUCCCAUCUUCCACCCCA
rnacentral:tRNA from 1 species